CCAGGAAUCCGGGCAUGGGGCGCGGGCAGCUGCCCCUUCCGUGAACCUCUAGCCUCCCGCGGCGAGGAGAUCUGCAGGGCAGGAGUGCACGGCCCGCAGGCGUAAGGCUCCGGACUCGCAGGCUCAGCGGCCAUGGCUCACGGGCCCAGCCGCUCCGCGGCAUGUGGGAUCCUCCCGGACCGGGACACGAACCCACGUCCCCUGCAUCGUCAGGCGGACUCUCAACCACUGUGCCGCCAGGCAAAGCUACGCCAGGGGCUGGCAGUGUUCAGCUAAGUGAUAAAAGGACUGAGUAACUGCGAAUCACCGUUUGUUUGACAAGCACUCAGUCUCUCAAUCAAGCAAUGCCCUUUAAGCAGUUAAUACAAUGCAUUUUUUUUUUUUGGCCACACUGCACCGCAUGUGGGAUCUUAGUUCCUGGACCAGGGAUCCAACCUGUGCCCCCUGCAGUGGAAGUUCAGAGUCCUAACCACUGGACUGCCAGAGAAGUCCCAAUAUAAAGUAUUUCUUAACUGAUUAAAAUACAGAAAUUGAAACAUAACCCAGUACUGCAUUUAAAGACAUGAAUCCCCUGGGAAAACUCAAGCCCUUGUUGGUUCAUCUGAGGGGGUUAAGAGUUUGAAUCCCAACUUCACCACCUCCUGGCCCUGCCACCUUGGGUAACUUGCUUGACAUCUCUGUGCCGCAUUUUUCUUCAUCUAUAAAAUGGGGAAGGCAAUAAGAGAAGGUUCUGUAGGGCCUGAAGUUUCUGCAGUUUGUGGGGGGAUCUUAAAAAUUACAAAUGUAAAGUGAAGCACUGUCCCCGUAGGAUCUUGGGGAGAGCCUCUCACUUGCAAGAUUAAACCUCAUUAGCUUUACCACAGACGAAGCUCUGAAAAUAGCGUCUUUUUCAAGCGCUGUUGGGAAUACGGAGUGAGGCCAUGUGGCUGAAUCAUCUGGCUCUGGUGUGUGGUGGGCCCGACUCCCAGACUACUAACCAGGUGUGUAAGAAACAUCUCCUUCUUUGUGUAGAGAAACCUACCUGAAGUUC